CUUUUUUUUUUUUUUCCUCCCGUUCAUGCUAAGAAACAUCAAAGCAACAGAGCAGUGAUUUUGAAGAUGAACACUCAACAGUAGAUCAGGAAUCUUCUGAGAACUCUGGUGUGGAUACAUCUGAUAUAGGUGAAGAAAGGGGUGAUAUAGGCUCAGUAAGAAGAAAAUUUGAAGAAAUUGACCUCCAGGUAGAAUUUUUGGGUGUCUAAUAUAAAGUAAUGAUUUUGUGUUCAAUAGAACCUAUUAACUAUUUGAGUAGUUUGCACAUGCCUGAUGAGUUGAUACAGAAGGCUUGAUACAGUUGAUCCAG
rnacentral:lncRNA from 1 species